GGCCCUAUCGUCUAGCGGUUCAGGACGCUAGGUUCUCAUCCUAGUAACACGGGUUCGAAUCCCGUUAGGGUCA
rnacentral:tRNA from 1 species